UUUGUUGUUAUCUUAAAUAUGCUUUGACCUCAUGCCCCCUUCGGCCUCCUUUCUUUAGUUUCUCUUCACAUCAAAAUUUCUUCAAAGAUUGAUCUAUCAGUCCCUCACCCCUGUUCUCUCCACACUCUGGCUUGGCUUUCAGCUGUCACAGGUCUGAAAUCGCUUUUGCCAAGGUUACCAAGUGUGUCCACAUUACUCAAUCCAAUCUUUAGUCUCCUGCCUGCCUCUUCCUUAACCUCUCUCUGGCUUUUGGCACUGUUGGUCCCUCAGUCUUUCUUGGAGCACGUUUUUCCCUUGGCUUCUGGGAGACCAAAGUUGCCUGGUUUCCCUCCAACUUCAUUGGCCAUUAUCUCUACCACCUCCAGUCCCACUAUUCUGAACACACGACGUGCUCUUGACUCCCGGAUUUCUAUCUCCAGCCCUGCUCUCGUCUCCAAGAAUUUUACUUAGUCACCUACUUUUUGUAACAUUUCUACUUGGAUAUCUAAAAGGCAGCUCAGACGUAACAUGGCCGAACUUCUGUGCCUUGAAUCAGCCUCUUCUCACCAGCUCCACCGCCCCCACCCAGUACCAGCUCUCACCUGGGUCACCUGAAUGUCCCAGAAAGCAUGCCCACGCUUCCAGACUUCACCUAAGUCUUUCCACUCCUUUCACCCUUGUUUAUGUCCUUGAUAUCUCCACUUCCACUCCUUGGACAUCUUUAUCUCUUCUCAACAUUUUAUCUCCAUGCCACAGUUUUAUCUACUCAGCAUUUAAAAAGAGUUUUCUAAACAAACAAUGGGCCUCACAUCAAAACCCAGCGAUUGUUUCAGGGGGCCUAAUCUGAAAAGUGAUGUCAGGAUUAGUUUCACAAUCAUAAUAGGGAGUGGCUGAGGGCAGGGGCCGGGGAGACAAACGCAGAUUGCCGGAAUUUAUCCUUCCAUCUGGCUGCUGUGUACCUGGGGGCUCCGUUUACCGUCACGACUUUCGUUUAUGCUCAGGAUUCUCCAUAACAAAACACCAGAAAACCCGAGAUCACGCACUCCAGUAACUGACUUUAUGGACGGGAACUCCUACCAGGCGCGUAAGUGCUCGGGCUCCCUAACGUUCAGCACAGCGUACGCAGAGUAAAUGAAUGGACGAAAGGAUGAAUGAACGGAUGGGUUACAGAUUUGGACCAGCUCGUCCCUGAGGGCUCCGGAAACUGUCCUGCAUCUCACUGAGGCUUUGCUGUAUGGGGACACCUGUCAAACUUUUCUGCAGAGGACAGGGGGAAGGCUGAGGAAUUCCAAUAUUUGCCAACGUUUACCACAUGCCAGCCAGAGGCUGGCUAGGAGCUGGGGACUGAAUGAGGAGUCAAAACAGAUCCUACCCUGCCUCCUGGGGCCAAAGCCAGGGACACAGAGUGCAAAGAUGUGGGGGUUCAGGAGUCCCUGAAAUGCCAAGAAGGGCAAAGGUGAG